rnacentral:rRNA from 1 species
CACGUAGGGCGCAAGCGUUGUUCGGAAUUAUUGGGCGUAAAGGGCGCGUAGGCGGUUCCGCAAGUCUUCAGUGAAAGUCUAGGGGCUCAACCCAUAGACUGCUGGGGAAACUGCGGGGCUUGAGUGUGGGAGAGGUGAGUGGAAUUUCCGGUGUAGCGGUGAAAUGCGUAGAUAUCGGAAAGAACACCUGUGGCGAAAGCGGCUCACUGGACCACAACUGACGCUGAGGCGCGAAAGCUAGGGGAGCAAACAGGG